GACAGAGGUGCCAAGCGUUAGGCGGAAUCACUGGGCUUAAAGCGCGUGUAGGCGGGACGGCACGUCGGUCGCUGAAAGCCCCCGGCUCAACCGGGGAACGGGCGCCGAUACGACCGCCCUCGAGGAACGUAGGGGACCUGGAACUUCCGGUGGAGCGGUGAAAUGCGUUGAGAUCGGAAGGAACGCCCGUGGCGAAAGCGAGGUC
rnacentral:rRNA from 1 species